ensembl:lncRNA
CACAGUUGUUGUUUUGAUAUAAUUCCACUCCCCACCAGUCCACCGGUGAGACGCCCCAUUUCCUGAUGUUUGGGCAGGAACCCCGGCUCCCUGUGGAUUUCCUUCUUGGUAGGGUCCAGGAGGCGGUACCAGGUACUGUACAUGAUUGGGUGGUGGAACAUCAAGCCCGACUUCAGGUUGCUUUUGCGGGGGCUCGUGAACGGUUAAGGCAGGCCGCGGACCGCCGUAAGGCCAACUAUGAUCAAGGUGUUCAUGAUGUCCCGUUAAAGGAAGGCCAGCUGGUGUACCUCCGAGAUUAUGGUAAGAGGGGUCGUCAGAAGAUUCAGGAUUUAUGGAGCUCGGUUGUACAUCGGGUAGUGAGAGCACCCAAGGCGGGCGGCGCUGUCUAUUCAGUAGCACCACUGGGAGAGCCAGAUAGAGUGAAACAUGUUCAUCGGUCGUCAUUAAAGGCAUGUAUUCGGAGGGAGUCAUUGGUAUUUGAGGGUAAUCAGACCCAUCAAAGUGCUGAAGUUAACCCUCCAUUGGAACAAGUGAGUGUGCCGGAGGAUGAGUCUGAACCAGAGUGGUUGUUGGUUAUUCCAGGGGGACACCAGGUACCGGGAGUAUCACAUCCUGUUGAACUAGAUUGUGUAGAAUCAUCCUCCACAGGUUCUGUAGUGCCAUCAGGAGUUGUGCCAACAUCCUCCCUUGCGCCUAAUUUAGGGGUAAGACAAGCUAGUGAGUUAUCUUCAGAUUUGUUGGCAAACGUUCCAUCCGUUAGGGAUGAGAAUGGGGGUCGACGGCCGCGACGAACCACAGCUGGCCACCACUCUAAUGUUCAUCAUCUCCCUCGGACUGUAGGUAGGGUAGUGUCGGAGGCUCAUACAGCUUCUACGGCAGCCUCUGCUAUUUUUAGGCCAUGGGACUAAGUUGAUCGUCGGGGCGACGAUGUAAGACCUUGGGGGUGGACUGUGGCAGGUAGAGAUCGGUAAGUUCAUCAUUAGGCAUUAGUUUAUUCAUUGGUUGGGGCCGAUAGAGGGGGUUGGAUUAUGUGUAUAUAAAUAACAUGCGUGUGUGACUUAGAUGAGCGUCACUUCCUGGGAUCCCGUUUCGCUUCUGGUUCAUGGACUGAGGGCUGCUGUGAUUUUGGUUUUGCAGGACGAUUGCGGCAACUGUAGUUAUCUCCGUGGCUGCAGAUAUUGUGGCUUUGACUUAUUGUUGGCGGCGGCGUGUGUCUCGCAUCUGCAUAUGCGACCACAUUCAGUCAAUAUAAUGCUGUGUAUGGGCGGAUGACGACUGUAUAUGCCGAGUUAUUUUCCUUGCGUAUCCUGAGCUCCACCGGCUGAGUGAUUAAACCGAAACUAUACUUCGCAUUGCAUCUAUGGAGUAUUAUCUUCACUUCUACUGACUCCCGGGUCCCUGUGCCUGUUAUCUGAGUGAUAGGGGCACGCAGUGACGUCACCGCUGUCUUGUUCCUGGUUGAACAUUCAUGAAUUUCGUGUUAAUACGGUUGUGAAUCCGUUGAGUGUGGGAGUGUUUUUGUUUGCAUUUAUAUGGUCCAGUUGUGUUUUGAAUUAAUUUGGUUAAUUCUGUUAUUGUGUGUUUGGCAGGCAUUAAGUGUCAGCUGUGUUGCCUGCCUAAAUCUUGUGUUAAUUAUUUUUGUUGUGUUUGAGUGUGUGCGUGUGUGUGUGUGUGUGUGUGUGUGUGCUAUUUUGUUUUACAGGAGCUGCAGACCUUUUAUGGAGAGCAGGGCUGAAGUCUUUCUUUAGGUGGUGAUGGUGUUUCCUCACAGAGUGCUGUGAUUUGCCGUGUGCACUGGGGCUUUUGGAUUGGUGUGAGUGUGCAGUGUACUUAGAGUAAAGGCCUGUACGGCCGGUCAUGUAGCCCAGGCUGCAGCUCCUCAUUGUUGUCUUUCCUGG